UCCUGGAGACAAACAGGCGGCGAGACGCAGCGCCUUAACAGAGGAUCGCUCCCACAGGCUGAAGAAAAAAAAGAUAUAUAUACCUUUUUUUUUGUUUUGUUUUGUUUGGGUCAGAAAACCGAAGAUUUGCGAGAGGCAGGCAGCAAACAAAGGGCAGGGCGCUGCGCAGGCUGCCGAGCACGCCCCGGGACGGCGCAGGCCCCUCUGGCAAGGGGCUCCCCCCCAACACACCUCCCCCCAAAACCCGGGCCCCGGCCCCACACGGACCCCCACACACACACACCCCCCUCAGAGCGCUCCUGCCUCACGGGGGGGGGGGGGGGGGGGCGAUGGGGCCGCCCCCUGCCCUGCCCUGCCCUGCCCUCCCCUCACCCCCCAGCCCCCAGCUCUACCUUGGGGGCUCCCGGGGGGGCUCCGGCACGGGACGAGGCCGCCGGGGCCCGGCGGGGGCCGCCUCAGGGCGCUGAGGGCCGGGCCCGGCCCCUCCUCACUGAGCGCUGGGGCCAGCGGCGAGGGGGGGGAAAGGGGAAGGGCGGGGGGGGGGCACGGGGGGGGGGGGGGGGGGCGCCUCGGGAGCCCCUCAGCGCGGCCUCCUCCCCUCCCGGUGCGGGUCCCGGUGCCGGUGCUCACCCGCCGGCCGCGCGGCGUCACGGCAGCCCGCCCGCCAUCUCCCGUCUGGGCGGAGGAGGAGGGGGAGGAGGCGGGAGCGAGGCACCAUCGGCAGCGAGGGGAGGGGGGGUGAAGGGGGGGACCGCGGCCGCGCCCCGCGUCACAUCCGCUCAGGGGCUGAGGGAGGAGGGCAGCGGGACGCCCGCCCCGCCCGCCGCCAUCUUGGUUGUGGGUAGCCGGCCGCAAGGAAGAUGGCGGGCGGCGGGGCGGAGCGGGGGGGGGGGUGCGCUGCUGGCGCUGCCCGGCCCUGCCUGCUCCUCUCCCCUCCUGCCCUGCUCUGUGCCUUGUCCCCCGCCGAGCCCCGCUCGGCCGCCGGCUUUCCCCUCACGCCGCGGGGUUACCUGCCGGGCCGGGAGCGCGGCCAUCCAGCGGCAUCGGCACCCGGCGCAGCAGCGCUGCAGCCGCUGUGCGGCGGGCCCCGGGACUGCGCCUCAGGGCGCGCUGCCGCCGGGGGAGGGGGGAGCGGCACGCUGCCCGUGUGUUCUUAAAAAAACAGCAUUCAUGAGGCAGGACAGUACACAGAAUCAUAGAAUCAUUAACGUUGGAAAGACCUUCGAGACCAUCUGGUCCAACCGUCACCCUGCCACCACUGUCACCCACUAG
rnacentral:lncRNA from 1 species